rnacentral:tRNA from 1 species
GGGCGGAUGGCGGAAUUGGCAAACGCGUACGGCUUAGGACCGUAUGGAGUAAUCCUUGGAGGUUCAACUCCUCUUCCGCCCACCA